GGCCUAACACAUGCAAGUCGAGGGGUAUAGAGGAGCUUGCUUUUCUAGAGACCGGCGCACGGGUGCGUAACGCGUAUGCAACCUACCUUAAUCAGGGGGAUAGCCCGGAGAAAUCCGGAUUAACACCGCAUAAAAUCACAGUAUAGCAUUAUACAAUGAUCAAAUAUUUAUAGGAUUAAGAUGGGCAUGCGUGUCAUUAGUUAGUUGGCGGGGUAACGGCCCACCAAGACCACGAUGACUAGGGGAUCUGAGAGGAUGACCCCCCACACUGGUACUGAGACACGGACCAGACUCCUACGGGAGGCAGCAGUAAGGAAUAUUGGUCAAUGGAGGCAACUCUGAACCAGCCAUGCCGCGUGCAGGAAGACUGCCCUAUGGGUUGUAAACUGCUUUUAUCCGGGAAUAAACCUAAGUACGUGUACUUAGCUGAAUGUACCGGAAGAAUAAGGAUCGGCUAACUCCGUGCCAGCAGCCGCGGUAAUACGGAGGAUCCAAGCGUUAUCCGGAUUUAUUGGGUUUAAAGGGUGCGUAGGCGGCCUGUUAAGUCAGGGGUGAAAGACGGUAGCUCAACUAUCGCAGUGCCCUUGAUACUGAUGGGCUUGAAUGGACUAGAGGUAGGCGGAAUGAGACAAGUAGCGGUGAAAUGCAUAGAUAUGUCUCAGAACACCGAUUGCGAAGGCAGCUUACUAUGGUCCUAUUGACGCUGAGGCACGAAAGCGUGGGGAUCAAACAGGAUUAGAUACCCUGGUAGUCCACGCCCUAAACGAUGAACACUCGCUGUUGGCGGUACACAGUCAGCGGCUAAGCGAAAGCGUUAAGUGUUCCACCUGGGGAGUACGCUCGCAAGAGUGAAACUCA
rnacentral:rRNA from 1 species